UGAAUACGAGAUGCUACGGCGUCGAAGCAGUGUAUGUCAGACUUCCAAGAAAAGCUCGCAAUGUCAUAAAUAAAGAAUGCCUGUACCAUAACCGACACAGGUGGGUAGGUAGAGUAUACUAAGGGGCGCGAGAUAACUCUCUCUAAGGAACUCGGCAAAAUAACUCCGUAACUUCGGGAGAAGGAGUGCCUUCUUUAAGAAGGUUGCAAUAACAAGAUCCAAGCAACUGUUUAUCAAAAACACAGGUCUCCGCUAAGUCGUAAGACGAUGUAUGGGGGCUGACGCCUGCCCAGUGCCAGAAGGUUAAAGAAGUUGGUUAGCUUUUGCGAAGCUGAUGACUGAAGCCCUGGUGAACGGCGGCCGUAACUAUAACGGUCCUAAGGUAGCGAAAUUCCUUGUCGGGUAAGUUCCGACCCGCACGAAAGGCGUAAUGAUUUGGAUACUGUCUCGGAGAGGGACUCGGUGAAAUAGACUUGUCUGUGAAGAUGCGGACUACCUGCACCAGGACAGAAAGACCCUAUGAAGCUUUACUGUAACUUGAAAUUGAAAUUGGACUUUAUUUGCGCAGUAUAGGUGGAAGGCGUUGAAAGUAAUCUUGCGGGAUUAGUGGAGCCAUCAGUGAGAUACCACUCCUAUAAUGUUAGAUUUCUAACUUUGGAUCAUGAUCUGGUCAAAGAACAGUUUCAGGCGGGCAGUUUGACUGGGGCGGUCGCCUCCCAAAUGGUAACGGAGGCGUACAAAGGUUUCCUCUGAACGGGUAGAAAUCGUAUCUAGAGUGUAAAGGCAUAAGGAAGCUUGACUGUGAGACCUACAAGUCGAGCAGGGACGAAAGUCGGUCUUAGUGAUCUGACGGUGCUGAGUGGAAAGGCCGUCACUCAACGGAUAAAAGUUACUCUAAGGAUAACAGGCUGAUCUCCCCCAAGAGUUCACAUCGACGGGGAGGUUUGGCACCUCGAUGUCGGCUCAUCGCAUCCUGGGGCGGUAGUACGUCCCAAGGGUUGGGCUGUUCGCCCAUGAAAGCGGUACGCGAGCUGGGUUCAGAACGUCGUGAGACAGUUCGGUCCAUAUCCGGUGUAGGCGUUAGAAUAUUGAGAGGAGCCUUCUUUAGUACGAGAGGACCGAGAAGGACAUACCUCUGGUGUACCAGUUAUCGUGCCAACGGUAAACGCUGGGUAGCUAUGUAUGGAGAGGAUAACCGCUGAAAGCAUCUAAGUGGGAAGCCCACCUCAAGAUGAGUAUUCUCAUC
rnacentral:rRNA from 1 species